UACAGAGGUGGCAAGCGUUGUUCGGAUUUACUGGGCGUAAAGGGUGCGUAGGUGGUUCUGCGUGUCGGGUGUUAAAUCUCACCGCUUAACGGUGAAACGUCGCUCGAAACUACAGAACUAGAGUGCAGGAGAGGAAAGCGGAAUUCUUGGUGUAGCGGUGGAAUGCGUUGAUAUCAAGAGGAACACCAGUGGCGAAGGCGGCUUUCUGGAAUGCAACUGACACUUAGGCACGAAAGUUGGGGGAGCAAACAGG
rnacentral:rRNA from 1 species